AUUUUAAAAAUGGCAGUUUCCCCUGCGCUUUUUCUCUCUCCUGUGCCUUGUGAAGAAAGUGCCUGCUUCGCCUUCACCUUCGGCCAUGAUUGUAAGUUUCCUGAGGCCUUCUCCGCCUGCAGAGCUGGCACAGAUGUCGGAGCCAGACUGCCUGGACUCAAAUCUCAGAACCUGCAUUUAUUAGCUGUGUGACUUUGGAUAAUCCUCUCUCCACAACUUGAUAAUGCACAAACUGCAAAUCUUCUGGUACUCACUGCUGCAAGCAAACUUGAAGUCUUUCUGAGCCUGACUCUUCAUUCCUGCCUUGUGUGACCCAGGGAUGGAGGACUGCCCUCCCAACUCAUUAUCCUCUUUGCCCAGGAGCUGUACAUACAAAGGUGGUGAUUCCAAAGAAUUAGAGCAAACAAGCUGGAGCUGGAAUCUGUCCUGUUAUAAAAAAUCUGUUCCGCCCAAUCACGAGAAUGUAUGGGUCAAGGUUACAGCCAAUGCCUGCAAAUCACCACCGUGUGUUUCAUUGAAGAAAGUGCCCUGCUCAACCUCAAAUUCUUAUCUUUCAAAUGAUGAAGAAAAUGUCACCUUAUGGACAUCAUCAAAAUCUUCUUUCUGUAAUUGAAAUGGAAUUAAAAGUGAUUUCCUUGGUUUACAGCAAUAGCUAUAAAAUAAACCAAGCUGUCUCUUUGUUUAUUCUUCAGAAAAGUGAAACACUUGAGUUACAAGGAAUAAUCAGAGACUAAUGCCAAGACAUCCCUGAGAGUCCUCCAGAAUGAUGGAGAACCACAUUCCAUCUCUCUAAAUUGGGAGCAUAUUGUAGCUUUGCAGCAUAGCAAUAGGAGGUAUCUUUCUGGGUCAUGGCUUGAUGUUGCAGAAGUGGCAGUGGAGCCUCCAAAAUCCCUGCCUUCCUCAUCCCUUCCAGCUCCACAGGGCUCUGGAGAGGCAGACAAGGUUCUGCAAUGCUCACCUCAAAAACAGUGCUGUAGGAAGCACUUGGCGGGGUACUGCAGUCAUAAACACUCCGGGAUUCCAAGAUCCUGACAGAUGCCUAUGUCACCAAAACUCAAAUUUUAUACUUGGCUUCAUGUGAUACUCUUUUUUAUGAUGCAUAUAUGAUAUGGAACAACUGCUGCUAUGGAAUCACCCAGAAUAAAAGUGACCCUCUUGGAAAUGCCUCCAUGUAUGUGUGAGUGAGUGAGUGACAAGCUGUGACUUGUACUGUCUACUCUGUGUAGCACCUGGGAAAUGUGUCCACCUUGCUCCUUGUCACAGUCUGACUGUGGCUACACUACGCGUCGGUGAUCACUGUCCAUCGGGCAGAAACUCUCUCCUGAUUCUUGCAUGAAAAAAACACUAGUUCAUUCAUCACUCAUCAAUCAUUUUCUUCUGUGACUCAUCAUCUGGAAGUUUCAUUCCUCAGUCCCCCUUUCUGAGGCUGGUAAAUAGCAUGUCAUUCCAGCAAAAGGCGGAGGGGGCGGCAGCCCAUCUGGACCUUCAAGUUUGAUUUCAUAUUUAUGAAACAGCUUAAAUGUCAGUUUGAGUGCAAAACGACACCUUCUCCAGCUUCUCACAUUAGUGCCUCUGGCUGCUUGGCUGCUGCUGAACGUUUCUUUCUUUCUUUUUUUUUUUAAAGGCAACUCGUGACUUCCCUGCUUGGCUCCUUUAAGGCAGGAAUGGAAAGAAGAGGCAUGAAUGGAUGGAUGGAUGGAUGGAUGGAUGGAUGGAUGGACGGAUGGACGGUCAGAUGGAUGGAUGCAAAGAUAGAUGGAUGAGACCACAAUUAAAUACUCUCACCAGAGAGGAGAAAGAAAGAAAUUGGAGAAAAUGAAACAAAAAUCAAAUAGAAGAAAUAUUUUGGUUUUAUAGGGAGUUUUGAUCAAUUGAGAGGAUCUUGAGACAUUCUUGUGUUAUUUGCCCUCUAUGUUUUAGGUUGAAAAAGUAAACAUAAAAAUUUGGAAAAUAAAGAUUUCAAGAGAUAAGUCAUCUGUGAUUUCACCACUCUAACAGUUGGUAUGACCAUUUAGAUAC
rnacentral:lncRNA from 1 species